rnacentral:rRNA from 1 species
GGGUGCGAUCAUACCAGCACUAAUGCACCGGAUCCCAUCAGAUUUUUUUAGUUAAGCAUGCUUGGGCGAGAAUAGCUCUAAGAUGGGCUUGUCUUAUGACUUUUUUUUUUUCAGGCU